CCGGCUAANUACGUGCCAGCAGCCGCGGUANUACGUAGGGUGCGAGCGUUAAUNGGAAUUACUGGGCGUAAAGCGGGCGCAGACGGUUANUUAAGCAGGAUGUGAAAUCCCCGGGCUCAACCUGGGAACUGCGUUNUGAACUGGGUGACUAGAGUGUGUCAGAGGGAGGUAGAAUUCCACGUGUAGCAGUGAAAUGCGUAGAGAUGUGGAGGAAUACCGAUGGCGAAGGCAGCCUCCUGGGAUAACACUGACGUUCAUGCCCGAAAGCGUGGGUAGCAAACAGGAUUAGAUACCCUGGUAGUCCACGCCCUAAACGAUGUCGAUUAGCUGUUGGGCAGCAUGACUGCUUAGUAGCGAAGCUAACGCGUGAAAUCGACCGCCUGGGGAGUACGGUCGCAAGAUUAAAACUCAAAGGAAUUGACGGGGACCCGCACAAGCGGUGGAUGAUGUGGAUUAAUUCGAUGCAACGCGAAGAACCUUACCUGGCCUUGACAUGUACGGAACCCUCCAGAGACGGAGGGGUGUCUUCGGGAGCCGUAACACAGGUGCUGCAUGGCUGUCGUCAGCUCGUGUCGUGAGAUGUUGGGUUAAGUCCCGCAACGAGCGCAACCCUUGUCAUUAGUUGCCAUCAUUAAGUUGGGCACUCUAAUGAGACUGCCGGUGACAAGCCGGAGGAAGGUGGGGAUGACGUCAAGUCCUCAUGGCCCUUAUGACCAGGGCUUCACACGUCAUACAAUGGUCGGUACAGAGGGUAGCCAAGCCGCGAGGUGGAGCCAAUCUCACAAAACCGAUCGUAGUCCGGAUUGCACUCUGCAACUCGAGUGCAUGAAGUCGGAAUCGCUAGUAAUCGCAGGUCAGCAUACUGCGGUGAAUACGUUCCCGGGUCUUGUACACACCGCCCGUCACACCAUGGGAGUGGGGGAUACCAGAA
rnacentral:rRNA from 1 species